rnacentral:rRNA from 1 species
GAUGAACGCUAGCGGGAGGCCUAACACAUGCAAGCCGAGCGGUAGAGUUUCUUCGGAAACUUGAGAGCGGCGCACGGGUGCGUAACACGUGUGCAACCUACCUUUAUCUGGGGGAUAGCCUUUCGAAAGGAAGAUUAAUACCCCAUAAUAUAAUGAUUGGCAUCAAUUAUUAUUGAAAACUCCGGUGGAUAGAGAUGGGCACGCGCAAGAUUAGAUAGUUGGUGAGGUAACGGCUCACCAAGUCAAUGAUCUUUAGGGGUCCUGAGAGGGAGAUCCCCCACACUGGUACUGAGACACGGACCAGACUCCUACGGGAGGCAGCAGUGAGGAAUAUUGGACAAUGGGUGAGAGCCUGAUCCAGCCAUCCCGCGUGAAGGAUGACGGUCCUAAGGAUUGUAAACUUCUUUUGUACAGGGAUAAACCUACCCUCGUGAGGGUAGCUGAAGGUACUGUACGAAUAAGCACCGGCUAACUCCGUG